rnacentral:rRNA from 1 species
CGCAAUGGGCGAAAGCCUGACGGAGCGACGCCGCGUGAUUGAUGAAGUCCUUCGGGACGUAAAGGUUUUUUAUGGGGGAGGAAGUUAUUGACGUUACCCCAUGAAUAAGAGGCUCCUAACUUUGUGCCAGCAGGAGCGGUAAUACAGAGGCCUCAAGCGUUAUCCGGAAUUAUUGGGCGUAAAGGGUAUGUAGGCGGCUUUGUUAGUCUUCCGUUAAAGCCUGUCGCUUAACGACAGAUUUGCGGGAGAAACGGCAAAGCUAGAGGAUGUAAGAGGUGUGCGGAACUCAUAGUGUAGGGGUGAAAUCCGUUGAUAUUAUGGGGAACACCGAAUGCGAAGGCAGCACACUGGUACAUUCCUGACGCUGAAAUACGAAAGCGU